rnacentral:lncRNA from 1 species
AGUAAGCUCAUUAUAUAUAGAUGAUAACCACCAGAUGAUACCCACGAAAUGAUAACAAUGUGCAGUACAUUUUUACCUAGGCUACUGAACAAAUAAAUACGGAAUGAGCGAGACAGGAAGCAAGGCCGCCUUUCGGAACAAAAAACACAAAAAAUAAAUAACAGGGCAAUAUAAGUGUUUCCUCUAACCAACCAGAACUAGGUUCAAAUGCAAGUAUUUACUAGACCAACAAAUUGUCUUGAUUUGCUCCUCAGAUCCAACUAAAGUUAAAAAGGC